AGUGAACGCUGGCGGUAGGCCUAACACAUGCAAGUCGAACGGCAGCACAGUAAGAGCUUGCUCUUACGGGUGGCGAGUGGCGGACGGGUGAGGAAUACAUCGGAAUCUACUUUUUCGUGGGGGAUAACGUAGGGAAACUUACGCUAAUAACGCAUACGACCUACGGGUGAAAGCAGGGGAUCUUCGGACCUUGCGCGAUUGAAUGAGCUGAUGUCGGAUUAGCUAGUUGGCGGGGUAAAGGCCCACCACGGCGACGAUCCGUAGCUGGUCUGAGAGGAUGAUCAGCCACACUGGAACUGAGACACGGUCCAGACUCCUACGGGAGGCAGCAGUGGGGAAUAUUGGACAAUGGGCGCAAGCCUGAUCCAGCCAUGCCGCGUGGGUGGAGAAGGCCUUCGGGUUGUAAAGCCCUUUUGUUGGGAAAGAAAAGCAGCAGGUUAAUACCCCGCUGUUCUGACGGUACCCAAAGAAUAAGCACCGGCUAACUUCGUG
rnacentral:rRNA from 1 species